CCAAAUUGUUAAAUAAUUGUAUAAAUGCAUGACUGAAAGAUACAAGCUUAGCAAGCACUAAUUAUAUGACAACAUUGUAUAUAAAUCCCGGCUGAGGUCCGUAAACUGACUUAGUUCAUGAUUGUGGAGGUUUCAACUAACAAAAAUGACUUAUGUAUACCCACUUGUUAAAUAAUAAAUUUUAUUAAUGUAAAUUAUUUACUUUUAUGUACAUGUUGAUACAGCAAAAUGUGUAGUUGCAUACACAAUCGUUCUACUGUGUCAGUUGAUUAAUUUCCAAAUUAUAUGCAUGGCCUAUCGAAAGGAAGAACUCAUUAGAAUAAGGAUAUACAGUAACUCAUUAUCUAUGUUAUUCUAUAGUCAAGGUUUAUUCAUAAAUCUGGUCCUUCACCGUCACGUGUAUAUUGUAUUUUUGCCAAAUCCACCAAUAGAAAUUUCCAAUUUACUCUACUGUUCGACUCACAGAUAGGUAACUUUCCAUACUGACCCGACCCUACCCAUCAUCUGACCCGCUUGCUACAGACCCAACCUUUGCAGAACUGCCUAUUUCAGAGGUUCCUUCUUCAACAGAAUUGUUCCUCUGUGGAACAACCUUCCUGAAGAACUGAAAUCGUGGCCUCUACUGCCAUACUCAAAUAUAAACUGAAGAACUACUACCAAGACAAACUUGAAACAUUCUCUUGACGUUGAUCGUCCGAGGACAUGAAAAAGCAUUUGUUCUAUAAAUGUUGUUCUUGUUCUAUUACUUGUUGUUCAUAAGAGUUGAAAGCGUUCCAAGCUGUCUUUGCAUUUCCAAAAUGUCUUUUGUUUCAGUCCGUUUAAAUAAAUUAAAUUAAAUCAAAAGGCCAGAUGAAAACAAUUUACUUGGGCGGUCUAUGUUCUUGAAAUCCUAUUUUUGGAAAAUGCAGGGACAACUUUUUCCAGGACAGCUUGGAACACAUGCAUGUUUAGGUUGUUUACUGUAUUCUGUGAUUGUGCUAUACAAUGUUGAUACAUUUAUAUGUAUAAAAGUUUUUGGUAACUUGGUCAUUUCCUAAACCCCAUUUUUCAAUUUUCAGGUCUCUUCAUCUUAAGGUAGUUGACUUAGAAAGGACUGCAAUAUAUGGGCGGUCCGUGUCUAGUUUAAACUAACUUUGGAAAGUGUAAAGAUGGUUUGGAACGCUUUGAUCGUGUGUUGUAAUUUUGUGUUGUAGCUUUGUUAAAGUUUGUAACCCUGUCUCUAUUGUUUCACAAUGUCAAUGUAAUGUGUAGGUAGGACUUAAUUUAGGACUCUUCAGUCCUGUUGUCUGUACCUUAGUUCAUAAAUAAAUAAAUAAAACAUUGCCAUUGGUUAGUUGGGCAGGAAUACUAUACGCACGUGACGGUGAAGGACCGGAUUUAUGAAUAAACGUUCACUAUAACAUAGAAAAUGUUAUAUUCUUAUUCACAGCCAUCUUCCCUUCGAUAGGCUAUGGAAUGGCCUAGUUACCAUUUCCUUGGUCGUGCAUGGCUGUCCAGCCCUCGAAAACGAGGUCGGCAUUUGGCAAUGCUGACCUAACAGCAAUCAGCACCAAAAAAUUCUUACUUUGCCGACCUGGGAGAUUAAAACCUCCCAGGUCGGCAAAUUUUUGCCAACCUUAAUUCAGUCAAAGUAAGAAUUUUUUGGUGCUUAUUGCUGCUAAAAACUCAGCGAUUAUAGAAUUCGAUUCGUAGUUCGAUCAACUAAACACACUUUGGUGUAAGGUUUAAAAAUUGACGGGUAUUCUAUAUAUAAUUUAGGUAAGACUCCAAAAGAAAAGCCGUCGUGUUACUGUAGUUCGCAUUUCCGCGGGAAAAGGCAAUGCUUUAUAUUCCGAUUUCAAUGAUUCGUAAAUACGCGACUACUAGUGCUCCAAGACAAGGAAACAGAUUUUUAAAAAAUGCCUAGGUCUGAUUUAGGUCGGUAUUUUUUGCCGACCUCAACUUUGACGGUUUUCGAGGACUGGCUGUCUAAAGCCUGGUUUCCAUAUGGUCGUAAUGAUCGUAAAAUAGAGUCACGAUCUUUCUCAACGGUCAGUUUAUAAUAGUUUAUACCUGUAGACCACAUAUAAAUCAUAAGUAUUCUCUAGUUAUAAUCACUCCGCGUAUUUUCAGUUCUAAAAUGUUGUAUUUCGGCUGAUAAGAAAGAUCGUGACUCAAUCUUUACGACCAUUACGGGAGGGGGGGGGGAGGUUGAAUAGGUUCGGAUCGUCGGAUUCCACCGAAAAAUUGUUCGGAUUUUGGAUCUGGCGAAUAUUUUACACGGAUUUGCGGAUUUAUCUAACAUUUUGGCUCAGAUUGUG
rnacentral:lncRNA from 1 species